rnacentral:tRNA from 1 species
GGGGUUGUGGCUUAGUGGUAGAGCGGUCGCCUAGCACGUGCCAGGCUCUGGGUUCGCUCCUCAGCACUACA